rnacentral:rRNA from 1 species
UUAAGCGACUAAGCGUACACGGUGGAUGCCCUGGCAGUCAGAGGCGAUGAAGGACGUGCUAAUCUGCGAUAAGCGUCGGUAAGGUGAUAUGAACCGUUAUAACCGGCGAUUUCCGAAUGGGGAAACCCAGUGUGUUUCGACACACUAUCAUUAACUGAAUCCAUAGGUUAAUGAGGCGAACCGGGGGAACUGAAACAUCUAAGUACCCCGAGGAAAAGAAAUCAACCGAGAUUCCCCCAGUAGCGGCGAGCGAACGGGGAGCAGCCCAGAGCCUGAAUCAGUGUGUGUGUUAGUGGAAGCGUCUGGAAAGGCGCGCGAUACAGGGUGACAGCCCCGUACACAAAAAUGCACAUGCUGUGAGCUCGAUGAGUAGGGCGGGACACGUGGUAUCCUGUCUGAAUAUGGGGGGACCAUCCUCCAAGGCUAAAUACUCCUGACUGACCGAUAGUGAACCAGUACCGUGAGGGAAAGGCGAAAAGAACCCCGGCGAGGGGAGUGAAAAAGAACCUGAAACCGUGUACGUACAAGCAGUGGGAGCACGCUUAGGCGUGUGACUGCGUACCUUUUGUAUAAUGGGUCAGCGACUUAUAUUCUGUAGCAAGGUUAACCGAAUAGGGGAGCCGAAGGGAAACCGAGUCUUAACUGGGCGUUAAGUUGCAGGGUAUAGACCCGAAACCCGGUGAUCUAGCCAUGGGCAGGUUGAAGGUUGGGUAACACUAACUGGAGGACCGAACCGACUAAUGUUGAAAAAUUAGCGGAUGACUUGUGGCUGGGGGUGAAAGGCCAAUCAAACCGGGAGAUAGCUGGUUCUCCCCGAAAGCUAUUUAGGUAGCGCCUCGUGAAUUCAUCUCCGGGGGUAGAGCACUGUUUCGGCAAGGGGGUCAUCCCGACUUACCAACCCGAUGCAAACUGCGAAUACCGGAGAAUGUUAUCACGGGAGACACACGGCGGGUGCUAACGUCCGUCGUGAAGAGGGAAACAACCCAGACCGCCAGCUAAGGUCCCAAAGUCAUGGUUAAGUGGGAAACGAUGUGGGAAGGCCCAGACAGCCAGGAUGUUGGCUUAGAAGCAGCCAUCAUUUAAAGAAAGCGUAAUAGCUCACUGGUCGAGUCGGCCUGCGCGGAAGAUGUAACGGGGCUAAACCAUGCACCGAAGCUGCGGCAGCGACACUAUGUGUUGUUGGGUAGGGGAGCGUUCUGUAAGCCUGUGAAGGUGUACUGUGAGGUAUGCUGGAGGUAUCAGAAGUGCGAAUGCUGACAUAAGUAACGAUAAAGCGGGUGAAAAGCCCGCUCGCCGGAAGACCAAGGGUUCCUGUCCAACGUUAAUCGGGGCAGGGUGAGUCGACCCCUAAGGCGAGGCCGAAAGGCGUAGUCGAUGGGAAACAGGUUAAUAUUCCUGUACUUGGUGUUACUGCGAAGGGGGGACGGAGAAGGCUAUGUUGGCCGGGCGACGGUUGUCCCGGUUUAAGCGUGUAGGCUGGUUUUCCAGGCAAAUCCGGAAAAUCAAGGCUGAGGCGUGAUGACGAGGCACUACGGUGCUGAAGCAACAAAUGCCCUGCUUCCAGGAAAAGCCUCUAAGCAUCAGGUAACAUCAAAUCGUACCCCAAACCGACACAGGUGGUCAGGUAGAGAAUACCAAGGCGCUUGAGAGAACUCGGGUGAAGGAACUAGGCAAAAUGGUGCCGUAACUUCGGGAGAAGGCACGCUGAUAUGUAGGUGAAGUCCCUCGCGGAUGGAGCUGAAAUCAGUCGAAGAUACCAGCUGGCUGCAACUGUUUAUUAAAAACACAGCACUGUGCAAACACGAAAGUGGACGUAUACGGUGUGACGCCUGCCCGGUGCCGGAAGGUUAAUUGAUGGGGUUAGCCGCAAGGCGAAGCUCUUGAUCGAAGCCCCGGUAAACGGCGGCCGUAACUAUAACGGUCCUAAGGUAGCGAAAUUCCUUGUCGGGUAAGUUCCGACCUGCACGAAUGGCGUAAUGAUGGCCAGGCUGUCUCCACCCGAGACUCAGUGAAAUUGAACUCGCUGUGAAGAUGCAGUGUACCCGCGGCAAGACGGAAAGACCCCGUGAACCUUUACUAUAGCUUGACACUGAACAUUGAGCCUUGAUGUGUAGGAUAGGUGGGAGGCUUUGAAGUGUGGACGCCAGUCUGCAUGGAGCCGACCUUGAAAUACCACCCUUUAAUGUUUGAUGUUCUAACGUGGACCCGUGAUCCGGGUUGCGGACAGUGUCUGGUGGGUAGUUUGACUGGGGCGGUCUCCUCCUAAAGAGUAACGGAGGAGCACGAAGGUUGGCUAAUCCUGGUCGGACAUCAGGAGGUUAGUGCAAUGGCAUAAGCCAGCUUGACUGCGAGCGUGACGGCGCGAGCAGGUGCGAAAGCAGGUCAUAGUGAUCCGGUGGUUCUGAAUGGAAGGGCCAUCGCUCAACGGAUAAAAGGUACUCCGGGGAUAACAGGCUGAUACCGCCCAAGAGUUCAUAUCGACGGCGGUGUUUGGCACCUCGAUGUCGGCUCAUCACAUCCUGGGGCUGAAGUAGGUCCCAAGGGUAUGGCUGUUCGCCAUUUAAAGUGGUACGCGAGCUGGGUUUAGAACGUCGUGAGACAGUUCGGUCCCUAUCUGCCGUGGGCGCUGGAGAACUGAGGGGGGCUGCUCCUAGUACGAGAGGACCGGAGUGGACGCAUCACUGGUGUUCGGGUUGUCAUGCCAAUGGCACUGCCCGGUAGCUAAAUGCGGAAGAGAUAAGUGCUGAAAGCAUCUAAGCACGAAACUUGCCCCGAGAUGAGUUCUCCCUGACCCUUUAAGGGUCCUGAAGGAACGUUGAAGACGACGACGUUGAUAGGCCGGGUGUGUAAGCGCAGCGAUGCGUUGAGCUAACCGGUACUAAUGAACCGUGAGGCUUAACCUU